rnacentral:rRNA from 1 species
AUUGAACGCUGGCGGCAGGCCUAACACAUGCAAGUCGAGCGGAGCGGCGGACGGGGGAGUAAUGCCUAGGAAUCGGCCUGGUAGUGGGGGAUAACGUCCGGAAACGGGCGAUAAUACCGCAUACUAUCAGAUGAGCCUAGGUCGGAUUAGCUAGUUGGUGUGGUAAAGGCCGACAAAGGCGACGAUCCGUAACUGGUCUGAGAGGAUGAUCAGUCAAACUGGAACGGAGAGACGGUUCAGACUCCUAGGGGAGGAAGCAGUGGGGAAUAUUGGACAAUGGGCGAAAGCCUGAUCCAGCCAUGCCGCGUGUGUGAAGAAGGUCUUCGGAUUGUAAAGCACUUUAAUUUGUGAGGCGUUACCAACAGAAUAAGCACCGGCUAACUUCGUGCCAGCAGCCGCGGUAAUUC